AAAUGAAUAUUUACGUAAAUUUGAAAUUUAGAUUUUUUAUUAAAGAAAAGUUUAUUUGUUGACUCGACUCCAUUGUAGCUAUUGACUCCAAACUUGGUCUGUUGACUCCACUAAGGGAUCUGUUCAGAAUUUCACAAUCUAUUUGCUUAUUGGUGGAUAUAAUAGCAUUGAUUGUCAUCCUCAUUGGUGGCGGGCGUCUCUAUGUCUUGUCCCCUUUUCAUCAUUUCUCCAUGGAUUAUCUGCAAAGAAAAGCCACACACGGUUUGCCUUGUAAUUUUCUAACAUCUAAACACAAAGCCUUUGGUUCUGAUCUUGAGAGGAUGAAGCUCAAGACUUCAUGUUUACAUAUCUUCUGUUCUUUCCUCAUAAGCUUGGAUGCUGUUUCUGCACAAAUCUGCUUGAAUGGUUACUUUAGACCCAAUAGUGCGUACCAUUCAAACCGUCGUCAGAUACUGUCUUCUAUUGCUUCUAAUGUCACGUCUCACAACGGUUUCUUCAACUCCUCCAUCGGUCAAAUUCCCAACAGGAUCUUCAUCACUGGCAUGUGCAUCCCUGAGACUAAACCAGAGUCUUGUUCAGAUUGCAUUGAAGACGCAUCAGAGAGAUUGUUAGAGGGCUGUCCUAAUCAAACGGAAGCUUAUUCAUGGCCAGAUCUUUGUAUGGUGCGUUAUUCAAACGUUUCUUAUACUGGAUCACUCGUUAUGGAACCGUCUCAUGUGAUUUGCGAUCCCGGAGAUAUCAAUGUUGAUUUGACAGUGGUUGAUAGAGUCUAUGAUGAGUUAAUGGUUCGUACAACAGCUGCAGCUUCAAAUAGAUCAUCAUCAUUUGAACAAAAGUACUAUGCAGCUGAGGCUGCUUCUUUGAAAAAUUUCGAAACUAUGUACACGAUGAUGCAGUGUGCACCUGAUGUUUCCUCACAGGAUUGUGAGUUUUGUCUCAACAAAAGUGUGGCUGAGUAUAAGUCAUCUUGUCGCGGUAAACAAGGUGGUUGGGUUAGCCGACCAAGUUGCUAUUUCCGUUGGGAGAUGUAUUCUUUUUCUGAAGCUUUUGAUACUAUCACAUUGCCACCACCUUCUCUGACUCCUCCUGCUAGCGAUGGUGCAACUACAACCGGGAAAGAUGGAAAAACAAAUUUGACAGGGACUAUUGUGGGAGUUGUUGUCCCUACCAUCGUUAUCUUCUUGGCAGUGCUUAUUAUAAGAUUCACGGUUUGCAGGAGAAAAAAAUCAGAACCUGGUGAUGAUAUCACCCGAACAAGCUCAUUGCAGUUCUGUUUUAAGACAAUCGAAACUGCAACUGAUAAGUUUUCGGACAGUAACCUGAUAGGACGAGGUGGAUUUGGUGAAGUUUACAGGGGAAGGCUUCCAAGUGGAACUGAAGUAGCCGUGAAGAGGCUGUCGAAAUCAUCAGGGCAGGGCGCGCAAGAGUUCAAGAAUGAGGCUGUUCUUGUGACAAAGCUUCAGCACAAGAAUCUGGUUGGAGUUCUUGGGUUUUGUUUGGAAGGAGAAGAAAAAAUACUCGUCUAUGAGUUUGUACCCAACAAAAGCCUUGACUAUUUUCUCUUUGGUAUGAUCCUGAAAAGCAAGGCAAACUUGAUUGGACAAGACGGUACAACAUUAUUCAAGGGACUGCUCGAGGACUUCUAUAUCUUCAUCAUGAUUCAAGUCUUACAAUCAUACAUCGUGAUCUCAAAGCGAGUAACAUUCUAUUAGAUGCCCACAUGAACCCGAAAAUCGCAGAUUUUGGCAUGGCGAGGAUAUUUGGAGUUGAUCAAUCUCAAGCCAACACAAAAAGAAUCGUUGGAACAUAUGGUUAUAUGUCUCCAGAAUAUGCAAGGUGUGGCCAUUUCUCCAUGAAAUCUGAUGUGUACAGCUUUGGAGUUAUGAUUUUGGAGAUUAUAAGUGGCAAAAGGAAUAGCAGCUUCUACCACAUUGAUGAUUCUGCUGGCAACUUGGUCACACAUGUUUGGAGGCUUUGGAGAAACGGGUCACAAUUAGAACUCGUGGAUCCGACAUUGGAAGAGAAUUAUGAGAGUGACGAUGUUAUUAGAUGCAUUCAUAUUGCACUUUUAUGCGUUCAAGAAAACCCUGUAGAUCGUCCAAUGUUGCCAGCAAUCAUCUUGAUGCUCACUAGAAGCAAAACCACUUUACCUGUGCCUCGAGCGCCCGGAUUUUGCUUCUCAAGCAUGAGUGGUUUUGCCUCACAAUCCACGAGCAGGUCUAUUCCAGGUUCUAUCAAUGAUGUGACGUUUACAAAACUAGAUCCUCGUUGAAGAAUGGUGUUUACUAUAAGCUGACACUCUAAUAAAUCUAUGGAAGUAUCAAUAUGGUCUCGUGUUUAUUGUCAUUGGCUCUACUUUAUAAGACAUUUGAACAAAUAUACAGACAUAUAAAUCACAUUCUUGUACUACAUAUACAUACAUUCUACAACAAGAACCACGGUUUGACUCGUUUAUCAAGGACGUACAAUCAGGGCCAGCACUGAGAUUUUGGAGGCAUGUGGCUGUUUCUAUGUAGAAUUUUUUUUUUUACAAAUUUGAAGCUCUAAAUUUUUUUUUUCAGAGGCAUAUUCGUAUGUAAUUUUUUUUUAAAUUUAGAAGCC